rnacentral:tRNA from 1 species
GCGGUCGUGGUGUAGUGGUCUGCACGCCGGGUCGUGGCCCCGGAGGUCCCGGUUCGAUUCCGGGCGGUCGCC